rnacentral:rRNA from 1 species
GUAUAUUGGACAAUGGGGGGAACCCUGAUCCAGCCACGCCGCGUGUGUGAAGAAGGCCUUUUGGUUGUAGAGCACUUUAAGCGAGGAGGAGUCGCUCUUGGUUAAUACCCAAGAUGACUGCACGUUACUCGCCGAAUAAGCACCGGCUAACUGUGUGCCCGCCGCCGCGGUAAUACAGUGGGUGCAAGCGUUAAUCGGAUUUACUGGGCGUAAAGCGCGCGUAGGUGGCCAAUUAAGUCAAAUGUGAAAUCCCCGAGCUUAACUUGGGAAUUGCAUUCGAUACUGGUUGGCUAGAGUAUGGGAGAGGAUGGUAGAAUUCCGGGUGUAGCGGUGAAAUGCAUAGAGAUCUGAAGGAAUACCGAUGGCGAAGGCAGCCAUCUGGCCUAAUACUGACACUGAGGUGCGAAAGCAUGGGGAGCAAACA